rnacentral:rRNA from 1 species
GUAGGUGGCAAGCGUUGUCCGGAAUUAUUGGGCGUAAAGCGCGCGCAGGGCGGUCCUUUAAGUCUGAUGUGAAAGCCCACGGCUCAACCGUGGAGGGUCAUUGGAAACUGGGGGACUUGAGUACAGAAGAGGAAAGCGGAAUUCCAAGUGUAGCGGUGAAAUGCGUAGAGAUUUGGAGGAACACCAGUGGCGAAGGCGGCUUUCUGGUCUGUAACUGACGCUGAGGCGCGAAAGCGUGGGGAGCAAACAGGAUUAGAUACCCUGGUAGUCCACACCGUAAACGAUGAGUGCUAAGUGUUAGGGGGUUUCCGCCCCUUAGUGCUGCAGCUAACGCAUUAAGCACUCCGCCUGGGGAGUACGGCCGCAAAGGCUG